rnacentral:rRNA from 1 species
AACGAACGCUGGCGGCAUGCCUAACACAUGCAAGUCGAACGAGACCUUCGGGUCUAGUGGCGCACGGGUGCGUAACGCGCGGGAACCUGCCCUUAGGUUCGGAAUAACUCCCCGAAAGGGGUGCUAAUACCGGAUAAUGUCUUCGGACCAAAGAUUUAUCGCCUUUGGAUGGGCCCGCGUUGGAUUAGCUAGUUGGUAGGGUAAAAGCCUACCAAGGCGACGAUCCAUAGCUGGUCUGAGAGGAUGAUCAGCCACACUGGGACUGAGACACGGCCCAGACUCCUACGGGAGGCAGCAGUGGGGAAUAUUGGACAAUGGGCGAAAGCCUGAUCCAGCAAUGCCGCGUGAGUGAUGAAGGCCUUAGGGUUGUAAAGCUCUUUUACCUGGGAUGAUAAUGACAGUACCGGGAGAAUAAGCUCCGGCUAACUCCGUG